GGGGAAUAUUGGACAAUGGGCGCAAGCCUGAUCCAGCCAUGCCGCGUGGGUGAAGAAGGCCUUCGGGUUGUAAAGUACUUUCAGUGGGGAGGAAGGGGUUAAGGUUAAUAACCUUAGCCAUUGACGUUACCCGCAGAAUAAGCACCGGCUAACUUCGUGCCAGCAGCCGCGGUAAUACGAAGGGUGCAAGCGUUAAUCGGAAUUACUGGGCGUAAAGCGCGCGUAGGUGGUUUGGUAAGAUGGAUGUGAAAUCCCCGGGCUCAACCUGGGAACUGCAUCCAUAACUGCCUGACUAGAGUACGGUAGAGGGUGGUGGAAUUUCCUGUGUAGCGGUGAAAUGCGUAGAUAUAGGAAGGAACACCAGUGGCGAAGGCGACCACCUGGACUGAUACUGACACUGAGGUGCGAAAGCGUGGGGAGCAAACA
rnacentral:rRNA from 1 species